GCCAGACUCCUACGGGAGGCAGCAGUGGGGAAUAUUGCACAAUGGGGGAAACCCUGAUGCAGCAACGCCGCGUGAGUGAAGAAGUAUUUCGGUAUGUAAAGCUCUAUCAGCAGGGAAGAAAAUGACAGUACCUGACUAAGAAGCCCCGGCUAACUACGCGCCAGCAGCCGCGGUAAUACGUAGGGGGCAAGCGUUAUCCGGAUUUACUGGGUGUAAAGGGGGCGCAGACGGCAGCGCAAGCCAGGAGUGAAAGCCCGGGGCCCAACCCCGGGGCUGCUCUUGGAACUGCGCGGCUGGAGUGCAGGAGGGGCAGGCGGAAUUCCUGGUGUAGCGGUGAAAUGCGUAGAUAUACGGAGGAACACCAGUGGCGAAGGCGGAUUGCUGGACAGUAACUGACGCUGAGGCGCGAAAGCGUGGGGAGCAAACAGGAUUAGAUACCCGGGUAC
rnacentral:rRNA from 1 species